rnacentral:RNase_P_RNA from 1 species
GAAGCUGACCAGACAGUCGCCGCUUCGUCGUCGUCCUUUCGGGGAGACGGGCGGAGGGGAGGAAAGUCCGGGCUCCAUAGGGCAGGGUGCCAGGUAACGCCUGGGGGGGAAACCCACGACCAGUGCAACAGAGAGCAAACCGCCGAUGGCCCACGUAAGUGGGAUCAGGUAAGGGUGAAAGGGUGCGGUAAGAGCGCACCGCGCGGCUGGUAACAGUCCGUGGCACGGUAAACUCCACCCGGAGCAAGGCCAAAUAGGGGUUCAUAAGGUACGGCCCGUACUGAACCCGGGUAGGCUGCUUGAGCCAGUGAGCGAUUGCUGGCCUAGAUGAAUGACUGUCCACGACAGAACCCGGCUUAUCGGUCAGUUUCACC